AGAGUUUGAUCCUGGCUCAGGACGAACGCUGGCGGCGUGCUUAACACAUGCAAGUCGAGCGGGGUUUAUCGGAUUAGCUUGCUAAACUGAUAAACCUAGCGGCGGACGGGUGAGUAACGCGUGAGCAAUCUGCCUCAUACAGGGGGAUAACAGGUGGAAACACCUGCUAAUACCGCAUAAGACUCCACUACCGCAUGGUAGAGAAGUCAAAGGGAUUACCGGUAUGAGAUGAGCUCGCGUCCCAUUAGCUAGUUGGUAGGGUAAAGGCCUACCAAGGCGACGAUGGGUAGCCGACCUGAGAGGGUGAUCGGCCACACUGGGACUGAGACACGGCCCAGACUCCUACGGGAGGCAGCAGUGGGGAAUAUUGCACAAUGGAGGGAACUCUGAUGCAGCAACGCCGCGUGAGUGAAGAAGGUUUUCGGAUCGUAAAACUCUGUCAUUGGGGAAGAAUAAAUGACGGUACCCAAUGAGGAAGCCCCGGCUAACUACGUGCCAGCAGCCGCGGUAAUACGUAGGGGGCGAGCGUUGUCCGGAAUUACUGGGCGUAAAGGGUACGUAGGCGGCUAUAUAAGUCAGGUGUGAAAUACCAGUGCUUAACACUGGAAUUGCAUUUGAAACUGUGUAGCUUGAGUGCAGGAGAGGAAAGUGGAAUUCCUAGUGUAGCGGUGAAAUGCGUAGAGAUUAGGAGGAACACCAGUGGCGAAGGCGACUUUCUGGACUGUAACUGACGCUGAGGUACGAAAGCGUGGGUAGCGAACAGGAUUAGAUACCCUGGUAGUCCACGCCGUAAACGAUGGAUACUAGGUGUAGGGGGUAUCGAC
rnacentral:rRNA from 1 species